rnacentral:rRNA from 1 species
UACCAGCACCCCGAGUGGUCUGGACGUUUAUUGGGCCUAAAGCAUCCGUAGCCGGUUCUACAAGUCUUCCGUUAAAUCCACCUGCUUAACAGAUGGGCUGCGGAAGAUACUAUAGAGCUAGGAGGCGGGAGAGGCAAGCGGUACUCGAUGGGUAGGGGUAAAAUCCGUUGAUCCAUUGAAGACCACCAGUGGCGAAGGCGGCUUGCCAGAACGCGCUCGACGGUGAGAGAUGAAAGCUGGGGGAGCAAACCGG